UACGUAGGGUGCUAGCGUUGUUCGGAAUCAUUGGGCGUAAAGCGCGUGUAGGCGGUUUGUUAAGUCGGAUGUGAAAUCCCUGGGCUCAACCGAGGAAGGGCAUUCGAAACUAACUGGCUGGAAGAUGGUAGAGGAAGGUGGAAUUCCUAGUGUAGAGGUGAAAUUCGUAGAUAUUAGGAGGAAUACCGGUGGCGAAGGCGGCCUUCUGGACCAUUCUUGACGCUGAGACGCGAAAGCGUGGGUAGCAAACAGG
rnacentral:rRNA from 1 species